rnacentral:rRNA from 1 species
UAACCCGCAGAGUUUGAAACAUGGCUCAGAACGAACGCUGGCGGCAGGCUUAACACAUGCAAGUCGACGCCCCUUACGGGGAGUGGCAGACGGGUGAGUAACGCGUGGGAACAUACCCUUUCCUGCGGAAUAGCUCCGGGAAACUGGAAUUAAUACCGCAUACGCCCUACGGGGGAAAGAUUUAUCGGGGAAGGAUUGGCCCGCGUUGGAUUAGCUAGUUGGUGGGGUAAAGGCCUACCAAGGCGACGAUCCAUAGCUGGUCUGAGAGGAUGAUCAGCCMCAUGGGGACUGAGACCGGCCRAACUCSUACGGGAGGCGGCAGGGGGGAAUAUUAAAAAUGGGCGCUUGMAUGAUGCGCCAUGCCGCGUGAGUGSSGAAGGCCRUAGGGUUAAAAGGCUCAUUCGCCGAUGAAGAUAUUGAGGGUAGMCGGAGAAGAAGCGCCGGCUUACUURGUGUAUAASCGGSGGUAAUACGAAGGGGGUAGCGUURUUCGGGAUU